rnacentral:rRNA from 1 species
UACGAAGGGGGCUAGCGUUGUUCGGAAUUACUGGGCGUAAAGCGUGCGCAGGCGGCUUCUCAAGUCAGGGGUGAAAGCCCAGAGCUCAACUCUGGAAUUGCCUUUGAGACUGAGUGGCUUGGGUACGGGAGAGGUGAGUGGAAUUCCCAGUGUAGAGGUGAAAUUCGUAGAUAUUGGGAAGAACACCGGUGGCGAAGGCGGCUCACUGGCCCGUAACUGACGCUCAUGCACGACAGCGUGGGGAUCAAACAGG